GCCGAGGUAGCUCAACGGUAGAGCAGGGGCUUUGUAAGCCCAAGGUUAGGGGUUCGAAUCCCCUCCUCGGCU
rnacentral:tRNA from 1 species